GGAGGGUGCAAGCGUUAUCCGGAUUCACUGGGUUUAAAGGGAGCGCAGGCGGACCUGUAAGUCAGUGGUGAAAUACCUGAGCUUAACUCGGGAACUGCCAUUGAUACUAUCGGUCUUGAAUGUUGUUGAGGUUUGCGGAAUGGGUCAUGUAGCGGUGAAAUGCAUAGAUAUGACCCGGAACACCUAUUGCGAAGGCAGCAGGCUAAACAAAUAUUGACGCUGAGGCUCGAAAGCGUGGGGAUCAAACAGGAUUAGAUACCCUGGUAGUCCACGCCCUAAACGAUGAUUACUCGACAUACGCGAUACACUGUGUGUGUCUGAGCGAAAGCAUUAAKUAAUYCACCUGGGAAGUACGACCGCAAGGUUG
rnacentral:rRNA from 1 species